CUGGAUUUGGAGUCACACUCAAAAUUAAAGUGGAAAACCACACUACAGGCUGAUCCAACUUUGAUGUAAUGUCCUUAAAACAAGUCAAAUUGAGGCUCAGUAGUGUGUGUGGCCUCCACGUGCCUGUAUGACCUCCCUACAACGCCUGGGCAUGCUCCUGAUGAGGUGGCAGAUGGUCUCCUGAGGGAUCUCCUCCCAGACCUGGACUAAAGCAUCCGCCAACUCCUAGACAGUCUGUGGUGUAACCGAGACAUGAUGUCCCAGAUGUGCUCAAUUGGAUUCAGGUCUGGGGAACGGGCGGGCCAGUCCAUAGCAUCAAUGCCUUCCUCUUGCAGGAACUGCUGACACACUCCAGCCACAUGAGGUCUAGCAUUGUCUUGCAUUAGAAGGAACCCAGGGCCAACCGCACCAGCAUAUGGUCUCACAAGGGGUCUGAGGAUCUCAUCUCGGUACCUAAUGGC
ensembl:lncRNA